rnacentral:rRNA from 1 species
AUACCGGACUCUAUGAGGCUCGGUAAUUGAAAUGAGUACAGUUUAAAACCCUUAACGAGGAUCUAUUGGAGGGCUAGUCUGGUGCCAGCAGCCGCGGUAAUUCCAGCUCCAAUAGCGUAUAUUAAAGUUGUUGCAGUUAAAAAGCUCGUAGUUGGAUCUCGGGUACUAGCAUGUGGUACGCUUUAUUGCUGUUACUGCUUGUCUGGUCCUAAUCGACCGGUUGGCCGUUGAUGCCCUUUAUUGGGUGUUUUCGGUAGCCGGUACGUUUACUUUGAGAAAAUUAGAGUGCUUAAAGCAGGCCUUACGCCUGAAUACUGUUGCAUGGAAUAAUAGAAUAGGACCUCGGUUCUAUUUUGUUGGUUUUGUAGAGCAUUGAGGUAAUGAUUAAUAGGGACAGACGGGGGCAUUCGUAUUGCGGUGUUAGAGGUGAAAUUCUUGGAUCGCCGCAAGACGAACAACUGCGAAAGCAUUUGCCAAGAAUGUUUUCAUUAAUCAAGAACGAAAGUUGGAGGUUCGAAGACGAUUAGAUACCGUCCUAGUUCCAACCAUAAACGAUGCCAACUAGCGAUUAGCUGCUGUUAAUUAAACGACACAGCUAGCAGCUUCCGGGAAACCAAAGUUUUUGGGUUCCGGGGGAAGUAUGGUUGCAAAGCUGAAACUUAAAGGAAUUGACGGAAGGGCACCACCAGGAGUGGAGCCUGCGGCUUAAUUUGACCCAACACGGGAAAUCUCACCCGGCCCGGACACUGUAAGGAUUGACAGAUUGAGAGCUCCUUCUUGAUUCGGUGGGUGGUGGUGCAUGGCCGUUCUUAGUUGGCGGAGCGAUUUGUCUGGUUAAUUCCGAUAACGAACGAGACUCUAGCCUGCUAAAUAGUACGCCGAUCUUUUGUCGGCGCGUACUUCUUAGAGGGACAAGUAGCGGUUAGCUACACGAAAUUGAGCAAUAACAGGUCUGUGAUGCCCUUAGAUGUUCGGGGCCGCACGCGCGCUACACUGAAGGGAUAAGCGUGUUCUUCCUGCUCCGAUAGAAGUGGGUAACCCGCUGAAACCCCUUCGUGAUUGGGAUCGGGGCUUGAAAUUAUUCUCCGUGAACGAGGAAUUCCCAGUAAGCGCGAGUCAUAAGCUCGCGUUGAUUACGUCCCUGCCCUUUGUACACACCGCCCGUCGCUACUACCGAUUGAAUGGUUUAGUGAGAUCUUCGGAUUGGUCCGGAAGUGGCCGCAAGGUUGCCUCU